UUCAAUAGAAAAGGAGGUGCUGUGUC
rnacentral:piRNA from 1 species